UGCACGCACCCCCACCCCAAUCCCCGCCUCAGCGCCGCUCCCCCGCCCCCACCCCCGUCCUCGCCGCCCCGCUCCACGCUCGCGUGGCGUCGUCAUCGCUGCGCUCUGCGCCCGCUCCGCCCCCACCCCCACACGCGCACACACACCUCACCCCGCGUCGUCAUCCACAGCCCCUACAUCGCCACCAUGGACUCGGGGUUGAACUGGUAGCCCGAGGGCUCGGGAGGUGCCGCCGGCGGCGGAGGAUGAGGCAGGCAGGGCGAGGGCGGCGACGCCGGAAGCUCCUGGAAAUGGCUGCGCGCGCGGUGGUGGUGAGACCGCUGGUCCGUGCCGGGAAGCGAGAGGCUGAGCAAGGUGAGCGGGUCCUCCUCCUGCGGACGGCUCAUGGCAGUCUGCCGGCUCGAACCCGCCGGAGCGCGCCACAGGGCGGUAAAUCUGGCCGGACCCGGAGCCGGCGCCGUGGCUGCUGAGGUCGCUACGGUGUAUGGUUGGACCCCGACCACGACCCCGAUAGGCUGUCGGGCGAGAGGCUCAUCAUCAGCUUGCCCGGGCGCGCCUCGGUCUCGGUGGCGUCAGUGGGAACCGGCGAACCGGACACGACGGCCCACCGCCUCCCUCUGCUUCCUCCCGUCGAAGCCCUCCACCUCUGACACGGCGACCGACCACUCCUCCGACUCCGACUUUGCCACCACGAACAGCAACGAGGACACUGCCAUCCUCGGCAUGACGGGCGACGGGGCAUUCGCAAUCUCCUUCGCCGAUUGCUUCACCGCCAGCGCCAGCGCAGCAUUGUUCGUAGAGAAGAGGAUGGUUCAUGGUAGCAAAAGUAUGGCGGUACCAGAACAAGGGAUUCCCCCUAAUGUUGUUGAGGAUGGGGAACCCUUCCGGCACACCAGUGUGGGCACUUACAGAGGAGCAGAUGUUCUUUAGAGGCAUGUUGUGUUGUACUCUUCCACCCACUCUCUGCCAGUCUCUACACAGGUUGUGGUGGAAAACACUCGUGUGGGAUCUAGCUGGCUCUUGUGCAAUUGGUAUGCCACAGCUGCUCUUCUCACCGUGUGAGGACGAGCACAGUAAAAGCUAAGCAUUUCUUGAUUCAUCCUCCCAGCUUCGUUAAUUACUAUCAAUGAUGUUGCUGCAUAUUUCUUUGGCAUCUUCUUUGGGAAAACACCGCUGAUCAAGCUCUCUCCAAAGAAAACGUGGGAAGGCUUUAUAGGUGCAUCAAUGACAACAUUGCUUUCUGCAUUUGUGCUACUCCUGCUGAAAAUGUACUAACUGAAAUUUA